rnacentral:rRNA from 1 species
AUUGAACGCUGGCGGCAGGCCUAACACAUGCAAGUCGAGCGGAUGAAGGGAGCUUGCUCCUGGAUUCAGCGGCGGACGGGUGAGUAAUGCCUAGGAAUCUGCCUGGUAGUGGGGGAUAACGUCCGGAAACGGGCGCUAAUACCGCAUACGUCCUGAGGGAGAAAGUGGGGGAUCUUCGGACCUCACGCUAUCAGAUGAGCCUAGGUCGGAUUAGCUAGUUGGUGGGGUAAAGGCCUACCAAGGCGACGAUCCGUAACUGGUCUGAGAGGAUGAUCAGUCACACUGGAACUUAGGCAAGGUCCAGACACCGACGGGAGCAGGCAGGGGGGAAUAUUGGAGAAUGGGGUAGGAUUUGAACCAACCAUGGGGGGUGAGGAAGGAAAGUCUUCGGAUCGUUUAGCACUUUAAGUUGGGAGAAAGAACAGUAAGUUAAUACCUUGCUGUCUGGACGUGAGCAAAAGAAUAAGCACCGGCUAACUUCGUG